rnacentral:lncRNA from 1 species
ACAAUUUGCCAAACUGGUCGCCUCCCUGAUCAUAAAUGGAGAAUUUGGAUGGUCUUCUCCUUCAUAUACUCCUAUCUGAUUUGAAUUUCCGUAGUAAUGGUUUGGUAUCGUUCGCUAGGGUUCCGAUGGGGGUUUUCGGUGACUAUGACGUCUGGAUCUCGUAACCGUCGUCAGUGGAGGAGCGGCGGCUGCGGUUGAUAAACACGUGGAUUCGUCUUCUGACGACUUGAUAUUGGGUGGAAGGAUUGCAGAUUUGGGGUCGCCAAUUGGGGCUUCGACUCUCGUCGUCGGUUUAGCUGAUCAGAGCUUUCUCUCCAGGUAAGGUUUCAAAUAUUAAUCGCAGAGCAGAAGAGGUCAAUCAAGUAGCAGCCAUGGUUCACAUCUACUUUUACCGUAUCUAAACAAUGAAUCGAAAGUGGACUAAUCUGUUAACUUGAUUCGUUAUUAAGUAUGCCGGUUAAACUAUUCCGAUGGUACAACUACACACCACCGAGGCUGCCACCGAACACACGGUUACAGCGUCUUAUCGAGCAUUGACCGUUACAGCUACUGUUUCGAUUUCAGGUGCAUGCCUAUGAGCGGGUGAAUAGAGUGUACAAUUACAAUUUGGACCCGUGUAUAUAACGAUUGGAGACGUUGGUAACAUUGAGAAGAUUGAUGUGGAUCAUGCAGAUGAACCCGGAAAAUGUCCUUCUCCUGGUGAUAAUGUACCCGAAUUUGGAGGGGCAUGUCAUAUAAAUUUUACCCCGAGCCCUACAAAGGGCAAGUUUUGCUGGGAUAAACGGCCUGAAUGGAGUGCUUAUGGAGAAAGCAGCUUCGGACAUGGCAUUCUCGAGAAUGCACCAUAUUUGUGCACAAAAAAUGGCAUUACGCUUCCUGCCCCCGUGUGAAGGAGCCACCUUCUUUAUGGGAAAAUGCUUAAGAUUGAUGUGAUAUACCUGUAGUUCCUUUUGAAGGUUUUUGAUGUACUCAAUAGCCAUAUCUGCUGUAUUACUAUGCUGCAGAUUCAAAAUGUGAUUUUAGUGGCUACACCAACUCCAACAGUUGGUUUUACGGCUACCAUAAAAACUCGAAUCGAGACACUCAAAACAUUUGAGAUGGGUAAUGGGACGCUUAUUCAGAUAUGACACCUGAUAUAGGGUUAAUUAUAAACUUUUCCAUGGGUUUGAGAUGGGUAUGGUAUUAAGUGAUAGCUGUCUAAUACAAGUCCUUCUACCUGUUUGCCGGCAUCGAAACCCAUUUGUUAUAUUAUGUUAUAUUAUCGAAAGAUGGGGAUUAUAAUUGAAUCUGAUGAGUCGUGACACCCGUUGCAACGCGCGGGCCUUCCACUAGUAGUAAAAAAAGAAAAUCUAAGGGCUGUAGGAAACCCUCAAAUAUGGUUCACUAACUUUGGAAGCAAAUGAUUAUAUAUAAUAAUUGUUUUC